CAACCCCCAAGCAAAGCAUCCAUCCAUCAAGUACCUGAGAGGAUAACAAAAAAAUAGGGGUGAGAUAUAAAAUCUCAGCAAGUAACUAGCUUUAACAAGCUAUUUAAACUACAAGUUCAUUAGACCAUGGUUUAACUAUUAUCAGCAAGCGUAUCUCCUCAAUGAAUAAUAAUAAUAAUAAUAACUCCAACACCCUCAUACAUAAAUAAAACCAAUUCAUCACCAAACCUCGGAGAAAAUUCACUUCUCACCACCACUGCCAAAUAAAUACCAUAGAAAACCGAUAGCACCCUAAAUGCAAAUGCAAUGCAAAUACCAUGUCUCCUGCCUUCAUACUCAAUAAAGUAUGAAGCUGCAUCGUUAUGCCCAAUAAAUGAUGCUGUACCGGUACGGUUGCGGCUAUCAAGCGGCGAAUUAACUCCAUAUGCCAUGCAUUAUGAUGCAAUGAAAUGCAAUGCCAAGACAGAUCACACAAAGAGAGUAUACACCGCAUAUACCAGAUAAGUCUCUCCUCAUUUGACAACAUAAACCUCAUCAUAAUUAUGCCAACAAGAGCCAUUACCAAGUUAUAAAGUAAAGAACAAAGCAUAUGUAAUCACAACAGUAAGAUGUGCAUCAACUUGUAAUUGAAUGGAUGAUAUUGGAUAAGUUAUCCUUCUUAAAUUUAAGGUGGAGGUAGGAAAAAUAGCAAAUUAAAGCUUGUAGCAACCACUGCUAUGUUUCUUGCUUCCCAGUGAAGGAGAUAGCCGCUCUAAGCAUGAUCCGGAGCGUUACCACCUGUUUUGACACAAUAAGAUCAGAACAUAUCCUCAAACAACCAUGUGCAAACAGCAAGUAAAGCACCCAUAUAGUCCAACCCAUCAAACAAGCGACAAUGGUAAACAUCACCUAGGUUAGCCGCAGCAGUGCUGCUUCACUUUUUUGUAUCUUUAAAAUUACAAACGAUAUGACAGCAAGAAAAUACAUCUUAGAAAACUAAGGGAGAAAUCUUACAACUUUGUUCAGAUCGUUUAUUUUUAGCAUAAUCCAAAGAGGGGUAAAACUGCAGUUGAAUGUGAAGUACAGAAUCUGUCUGAAAUUUCGGGCAGCAGCAUACAAAAAUUCAUAUCUCCCAAACCCCUUGUCCAAAAAUUCUAAAAUUUUGUCAGGACAUAUAUCUCUGAGAAACCUACAACUUUUUUAUUAUGGGUUUCCACGAAUUCCAUCCUUAAGAUCAUCUAAUACAUCUCUGAACAUCUGCUGUCAAAAAUCUGGACAUUCAGAAACAGCGUCCAAACAAUAUUCAAUAACUGAAGGUAUACUCCACCAAAAAAUAUGAAACUUGGACAUAAGUUACAUCUCAUAAUCCUCUACAAAUUUUUUAUGAUCCACUUUUGGAGGAGAAAUCGUUUAGGUUGCCAAAACUACAAGGACAGCAGCACUGCCCGAGCUACAGGACAGCACACCUUAAAUCGACCUUCAAACCGUGUUUUCUCCAACAAAUCCACUAAUCCUUAGGACCAAGAACCUCCUAAAAACAUCAAUUAGAAGAUGUAAAGUGGAUUCACCUCACCUUGGUCAUUCCCCAAACCCUAGGGCAGCAGGAAGAUAUGGGGAAAGGACCGAUCUACAUGGAAGAUGCACCUUUUCUUGCUCCUCUUGUUGUCCUCGAUCCGUUUUGCUAGUUCCCCCCAAGGGUUUGCUGCUGUAGAGAGGGGAUUUAGGGAAGGGAAGGUAUGGGAGAGUAGGGAAGGAGGAAGAAACGUGAGAAGGGAGAGAGGACCGGUCUGGAUAAGAUGGGAGGGGGGCAACGGGCCAGGGAAAAGGGUUGGGCUGGCUGGGCCUUUGAAUUUUUUUUAGUGUGUUACAUUCUCCCCUCCUUUAAAGAAUUCGUCCCCGAAUUUAACUACUCAAAGAUAUACCAACUUGAUAAAUUAAAACUUACCGCUCUCAAAGAGUUGUGGGUACUUCUUGCGCAUUUGGUCCUCGAGCUCCCAAGUCGCUUCAUGCUCAGACUGAUUACUCCAUAGAACCUUGACAUAUUUGAUGGUCCUCUUUCUCAUGACUCGCUCGGAUGAGUCUAAGAUGUGUAUAUUUCUAUUUGUAUGAUACUGAUAUUGCUCUUUCUUAAUAUUGCUCAUAAAUGGGGAAAUAGCAUAUCUUUUUUUUCCCUCCUGGGUGACAUUCCACAAUUAGAUUUGGCUCCACAAUAAGUGGCUCCAAAUCAAUCUUGUGCUCAGGAUCCCUCAAAUAUUUUCUUAACAUAGAUACAUGGAAAACAUUGUGCACUUGCUUCAAUGAUUCUGGAAGCUGCAAGCGAUAUGCCAAACUGCAAACACGGGCUGUGAUCACAAACGGACCAAUGUACCUUGGGCUAAGCUUUCCUGUGGUGCCAAACCUCACAACACCUUUGGUUGGCGAUACCCUAAGAAGAACAUGGUCACCCACUGCAAACUCUAGAUCUCGCCUCCUCACAUCAGCAUAACUCUUCUGCUGGCUCUGAGCAGCCAACAGAUUCUGUCGUAUCUCCCGCACCUUUUUAGAUCUCUCUCGGACCCAAUCUGAACCAAUCAAAGAUCUCUCACCCAAAGUUUCCCAGCAUAUGGGAGAAAUACACUUCCUACCAUACAAAGCCUCAAAUGGAGCCAUCUUGAUACUAGCUUGAUAGCUAUUAUUAUAAGCGAACUCUACCAAAGAUAGAUGAUCCUCCCAACUACCUUUCCAUGAAAGAACACAAGCACGAAGCAUGUCCUCUAAGGUCUGAAUAGUCCUCUCCGACUGACCAUCAGUCUGAGGGUGGAAAGCAGUGCUAAGAGUCAAAUUUGUGCCCAAUGCACUAUGCAAGCUUUGCCAAAAGUUAGACACAAACUUGGGAUCUCGAUCAGAAACAAUGGACUUUGGCACACCAUGAAGCCUUAGCACUUCUCUCAAGUAUAAGGGAACCAAAUCUGGUGCUGAACUAGUUGACUUCAUCGGAAUGAAAUGUGCAGACUUAGUGAGUCUAUCCACAAUAACCCAUAUGGCAUCUCUCCCUCGAGGUGAGCGAGGUAACCCGACCACGAAGUCCAUAGUGACAUGUUCACAUUUCCACUCAGGGAUCUCCAAAGGCCAUAAUAAACCCGCAGGCUUUUUAUGUUCUGCCUUAACUUGCUGACAAAUUCCACAAGAUGCUACAUAUUUGGCAACAUCAACUUUCAUCCUUUUCCACCAAAAUUUUUUCUUUAAAUCCCAAUACAUCUUGGUCUCACCAGGGUGAAUUGUGUAAGGUGUUCGAUGUGCCUCCCUAAGUAUAUCCAUCUUCACAUCAGAAUUUUGUGGCACACAAAGACGCCCUCUAAAGCGAAUAGCACCAUGUUCAUCUAUGGUGAACUCCCGUGGUCUACCCCCUAAAAUUCUCUUUCGAACCUCUUGAAGCAAACGAUCAUGUUGUUGAGCCUCACGCACCUGAUCAACUAUGGGAGACUGAAUAAGCAUUUGAGUCUCUUGAUGUGCACCGCCCGCAUAACAAAACGAAACCCCCAUGCGAUCCAUAUCAACAAUCAAGGACAUCACUGUCUUAGGAACACUUGUCCUACUAAGAGCAUCUGCCACCACAUUUGCCUUUCCUCGAUGGUACUGGAUGGUGAGAUCAUAGUCCUUAAUCAAUUUUAACCAUCUCCGUUGCCUCAAGUUGAGUUAUUUUUGUGUGAAAAUAUAUUUGAGACUUUGGUGAUCUGUAAAUAUAUCACAUGACUCUCCAUAAAGAUAAUGCCUCUAAAUCUUUAGAGCAAAAAUAAUUGCAGCCAACUCUAAAUCAUGUGUGGGGUAAUUUUGCUCAUGCUUCUUCAAUUGCCUUGAUGCAUAAGCAAUCACUUUACCUUCUUGCAUAAGCACACAACCAAGCCCGAUUCGAGAAGCAUCUAUAUACAAAGUGAAGUGUUUGCCGCUCUCAGGUAAUGUCAAUAUAGGAGCAUUCACUAACUUAUUAUUUAGAGUUUGGAAACUGGCCUCACACUCUUUAGUCCAUAUGAAUGGAACACCCUUCUUAGUGUGAUUAGUCAUUGGCUUAGCAACAAUUGAGAAACCCUGCAUGAAACGGCGAUAAUAACCUGCAAGCCCAAGAAAGCUCCGAACCUCUGUUACAUUGGUCGGUCUUUGCCAUUCCACCACUGAGGCAACGUUUUUAGUAUCCACCUUAAUGCCAUGUUGAUUAAUGACAUGACCAAGGAAGCUCACUUCAGAAAGCCAAAAUGCACAUUUCUUCAACUUUGCAUAGAACUUGUUCUUCCGGAGUGCAUCCAAGACAAGACUGAGAUGAACCUUAUGCUCCUCCUCUGACUUGGAGUAAACUAAGAUAUCAUCGAUGAAUACCACAACAAAAACAUCCAAGUACUCAUGCAACAUCCUAUUCACGGCCUCCAUAAAAACAACAGGGGCAUUUGUUAGUCCAAAAGACAUAACCACAUACUCAUAAUGCCCAUACCUGGUAUUAAAAGCCGUCUUCUCAAUAUCCUCUUCCUUGAUACGUAGUUGAUGGUAACAAGAUUGCAAGUCAAUAUUAGAGAAUACCUUGGCACCUCUCAAUUGAUCAAAGAGAGCAUCAAUACAAGGCAAAGGGUACUUGUUCUUGAUUGUUACUUGAUUAAGUGCUCGAUAAUCAACACAAAGUCUUUUAGUGCCAUCCUUCUUUUCUACGAACAAGACUGGGGCAGCCCAAGGUGACAUGCUUGGUCGGAUAAACCCUUUAGCAAGAAGUUCAUCCAAUUGCUUAUUUAACUCCACCUGCUCCAUAGGAGCCAUCUUGUAUGGUGUCUUAUAUAUAGGUUGCAUUCCAGGAACCAACUUUAUGUGGAAAAUAGCCUCUCUUUCAGGAGGUAAACCUGGGAGCUCAUCUGGGAAAACAUCUGGAUAGCGACAAACCACUAGAAUAUCAUCCACUUGCAAGGGAACCUCCUGAUCACCAAUCAUCACAAAAAGAAUACCAGUUUUUUGUGUCCAUCAAUCAGGAAAUAACUGACACAACAAGGAGAUAGAGUACUUCAAACCACUCCCUUGAAAGAUCAUCCCUCGUCCUAAUGGUGCUUGCAAAGUGAUUGUUUUCCAGAAACAAGAGAUAAUAGCCUUAUACUAGGAGAGCCAGUCCAUGCCAAGAAUCACAUCAAAAGGCUCCAAUGGAAUCACCACUAAGCUAGCAAUAAAAUCCUCAUCCGCAAGAGUGACAACACAGCCUGGACAAACUAUAGAACUCAAAACAAGCCCUCUAGCAGAACUAACAACGAUAGCCUCCCCAAUCCUUUCAACAAAAAGACCCAAACAACCAACAAAAGCCUCUGAGAUGAAAGAGAAACUAGCUCCAGAAUCAAAAAGAGCAUGAUCAUCGUAAGAAUCAACUGAGAUGAUACUUGUUACCACGUCACCACAAUCUCUAGCGUUAGUGGCUGGCAUAACAUAUGCCCCUGGAACACCAGACGAAGAAGAGGCACCCGAAGUAGGACCCGUCGGAGUGGGAGCCCAUGGAACCAUGGGUGCUAAAGGAGUAGCAUGGGGCAUCCAGUAAGCCCCAGUCUGAAGCGUAGGGGCAGCCGACGGAGUCACCGGUGGCGCUAGCAAGUACUGAGCUGUAGGGGCAGGUAGGUACUGCUGCGGUGGCGGUGCAAGUAGGUGCUGCUGCGGUGGCAGUGCAGGUAGGUGAGGAGUAGAAGAUGCAGCCGCCAUCAUAUGGAAUGCACCAUUGGGAGCUGAAGAAGACACUAGCUCCCAAUGAAGCUUGGCAUCAGGAUUCUUCCUACAAACCACGUCCUUGUGAUCUUGACCACAAAUAGAGCACUUGCCGGACCAUCGGCACUCUCGAAGACGAUGCGCAUCUCCACAUUUGAAGCACACCAUCCCCGUACCAGGUUUGGGAAUGGCACGAUACUGAGAAGUACUCCCUCCUGGAGUACGAGACUGAGUUGAACCACCACGGUACGGCUGGUGACGCUGAAACUUGCCCUUCCUAUGAACAUGACCACCAGAAUGGCCCUUCUUGUCACCCUGACCAUGAGAUUGGUCACCACUCGAAGACUUAUUUAGAUCAGCUGUGACCUGAAGCUGCAUCUCAACUCCCAAGGCUUUCUCUACCAUGGAGCGAAAGUCUGUGACUUCAAAGGCACCCAACACAUGGUGAAUUGAAGGCUUAAGGCCUUGACGAAAUUGCCUUGCUUUCUCUGCAUCUUCAUGGGCCACAUGUGGAACAAAACGAACAAUCUGGUUGAACCCCACCUCAUACUCAACCACUGUCUUCCUUUCCUGCACAUAGUUAUUUAGCUCAAUUUUCAUCUUGCCCAGGAAGGUCACUGGGUAAAACCUCCUCUCAAACUACCUAAAAAACUCAGGCCAAGUUAAAGAACCAUGCACAGCCGUGCGAGCUGACUGCACACCCUUCCACUAAAUCUGUGCCUCACCCUUUAGUAAUUGUGCCCCAUAACGAACACGAUCAUGAGUUGACACCUCAAAAGCUUCCAUCUUAUCCUCCACAUAUGACAACCAAUCAGCAGCCUGAAUAGGAGUACCACUACCAUCAAAACUAUCUAGCUUCAUGCCAACCCACUCUCUCAGCGAGACACCACUCUCAGGGCCAACUGGGGCAGCAACUUCCUGAGUAGAGGUAGUAGGAUUAGGUUGUGCUGCACCCGCACGAGCAGUCUGCCUCAAAGUCCUCAUCUCAUUUUGCAUCUCACCCAUUGCGGCAAGUAAUUCUGCUUGACUAGUGCCAUCAGCUUGGGUACCGCUCGCUGGUCGUGCCCGACCUUGCUUCUUAGGCGGGAUAACUGCAGCCACCACAAGACACAAACAACACAAAUAUCAAGCUCCAACAAUUUAAAGUAUGCAUAAAGACAAAAUAAUCCAUACAUACAAAUGUACCCGUACCCAACCUACAAGUGCAAGUGUGUCAAAUUAGACCUUAUUUUUCCUAGGAUUAAAUUAACCUAAGCUCUGAUUACCAACUGUAACACCCCAAGAAAAACAAACGCCACCUUAGGAUGCUACUAAGCCACACCGGACAAAAGGGAAAGAUUUUGACAGCAUCUUCCCUAAAACAGGAACACUGUGCAAGUAAGAAACAAUAAAAUAUGAAAAUAGAUAAAGCACACUAGCAUAAAUAAAAGAUCCUAACAUGAUAUUCAAACGAUUAAGGCAAGGUUUAACAAAGCUUAACCAUCACUAAGCAACAAACGGACUCUCAUAGAGAAGGACUUAAAUAUUACAGCAUCACACUAGAGGAUUUUGAUUAAAGAGAAGUGUGUGACGUGCUGCUACUUCCCAACCCCCAAGCAAAGCAUCCAUCCAUCAAGUACCUGAGAGGAUAACAAAAAAAUAGGGGUGAGAUAUAAAAUCUCAGCAAGUAACUAGCUUUAACAAGCUAUUUAAACUACAAGUUCAUUAGACCAUGGUUUAAUUAUUAUCAGCAAGCGUAUCUCCUCAAUGAAUAAUAAUAAUAAUAAUAACUCCAACACCCUCAUACAUAAAUAAAACCAAUUCAUCACCAAACCUUGGAGAAAAUUCACUUCUCACAACCACUGCCAAAUAAAUACCAUAGAAAACCGAUAGCACCCUAAAUGCAAAUGCAAUGCAAAUGCCACGUCUCCUGCCUUCAUA
rnacentral:lncRNA from 1 species